rnacentral:rRNA from 1 species
AUGGAAGGCAGCAGUGGGGAAUAUUGCACAAUGGGGGAAACCCUGAUGCAGCGACGCCGCGUGAGUGAAGAAGUAUUUCGGUAUGUAAAGCUCUAUCAGCAGGGAAGAUAAUGACGGUACCUGACUAAGAAGCACCGGCUAAAUACGUGCCAGCAGCCGCGGUAAUACGUAUGGUGCAAGCGUUAUCCGGAUUUACUGGGUGUAAAGGGAGCGUAGACGGCAUGGCAAGUCUGAAGUGAAAGCCUGGGGCUCAACCCCGGAACUGCUUUGGAAACUGUUAAGCUAGAGUGCAGGAGGGGUAAGUGGAAUUCCUAGUGUAGCGGUGAAGUGCGUAGAUAUUAGGAGGAACACCAGUGGCGAAGGCGGCUUACUGGACUGUAACUGACGUUGAGGCUCGAAAGCGUGGGGAGCAAACAGGAUUAGAUACCCUGGUA